rnacentral:rRNA from 1 species
AUUGAACGCUGGCGGCAGGCCUAACACAUGCAAGUCGAGCGGAGCGGCGGACGGGUGAGUAAUGCCUAGGAAUCUGCCUGGUAGUGGGGGAUAACGUCCGGAAACGGGCGCUAAUACCGCAUACUAUCAGUUGUGCCCAGAUGGGAUUAGCUAGUAGGGGGGGUAACGGCUCACCUGGGGGACGAUCCCUAGCUGGUCUGAGAGGAUGACCGGCCACACUGGAACGGAGACACGGUCCAAACUCCUACGGGAGGCAGCAGUGGGGAAUUUUGGACAAUGGGCGCAAGCCUGAUGCAGCCAGGCCGGGUGUAUGAAGAGGGCCUUCGGGUUGUAAAGUACUUUCAGCGGGGAGGCGUUACCCGCAGAAGAAGCACCGGCUAACUCCGUGCCAGCAGCCGCGGUAAUUC